CAGGUGGUGCAUGGCUGUCGUCAGCUCGUGUCGUGAGAUGUUGGGUUAAGUCCCGCAACGAGCGCAACCCUUGUCCUUAGUUACCAGCAAGUAAUGGUGGGCACUCUAAGAAGACCGCCGGGGUCAAUCCGGAGGAAGGUGGGGAUGACGUCAAGUCAUCAUGCCCCUUACGUCCAGGGCUGCACACGCGCUACAAUGGUCGAUACAAAGGGUCGCCAACCCGCGAGGUGGAGCCAAUCCCAUAAAGCCGAUCGCAGUCCGGAUCGCAGUCUGCAACUCGACUGCAUGAAGUCGGAAUCGCUAGUAAUCGCGAUCA
rnacentral:rRNA from 1 species